UCAUUUUCCUCCUCUCAAUAUGGGAGUGAAAUCAUCUUUUUAUAUCACGUGAUGGGACAGAUUAUGGAAAGUCAGAAGUAUCUUAACACUGAACUGUAAGUUUUGCUAUUAAGAAUGCCUGAUAAUAAACUUGAUCUGAAUGAGAUUCUAAAGCGUGGAGUAAUCUGCAUGCCCCAGCGAGCCUAAAACGCUCAAGGCAGAAGAAUAAAAAGAUAAUGUCACUUUGAACUCCCCUCAAGUGAAAAACUGUUAUUUUUGCAACCAAACUUCGUUUGAGUGAGAAGAAAACUAAAACUUAUCCUUGCUAAAGAAAGACUGUGUUUGUGUGAGAAGUGCAAAGCCUCUCUUGCAGAGAACAGAUUCUGUCAGCGAUAAAAGCAUGCUUCCUCUCUCCCUGUUCGCCUUUUUUCCGUUUAAUUGCGCUCCGGGGGGAGGGGGACCCAGAAAUCGCAUGACAAAGCAGCCCCCUCCCCAACCUAUUCAGUCCAAUCUGCUGUUGUUAAGGCCAAAGACUUUGCAAAGAAAGAAAAACCUGUUUCAGUAAAUCAAAGCAAAUUCCAAGCCUUACUGCUUAAGUGGUUGUAAAAGCCUCAUGGAAAGGUCUCCAUGGAAACGGAAUUUGAAUAAGAAAGCAGUCAGCUAGCCCAGAUCUUUAUAUGAGAAUCUGACUUCCCAAGUCCUUUGAACUUACUUGAUAAGUUGUUCUGGCAAGGAAGGGCAGUAAAGAGGCCCCAACCAUCCCUGGCAUCAUUUUACUUUGUGUGUGCAGAGCCAUCUGGCAGUCAAAUGGUCAUAAGGCCGAUGCCUCAUGACCAUUUGACUGGAGAGUUAGCUUUACAACCCUCAACAAGAAAAAUGCCAUUAUCAGUUACUGGUCAUUAGUCACAAACUGCAUCCUAUUGUGGCUCUUCUACAAAGUACAAUCCAGUAUUUCAAGCUAACGCUUGCAACGCACCUUAGUGGCCAAAAGGUGAACUGCACCUGCAUCUACAAAGCCUUGCAACACACCUUAGCGGCCAAAAGGUGAAGUGCGCCUGCAUCUACAAAGCCUUGCAACACACCUUAGUGGCCAAAAGGUGAACUGCGCCUGCAUCUACAGAGUCUUGCAAUGCACCCUAGUGACCAUCAAGUGAAUUGUGCUGCAUCUCCACAGUCUUGAAACGCACCCUAGUGGCCAAAAAGUGAAUUAAACUCAAAAUUCAUAAUACAUUCAGGAAAUUUCCUGUGCUAAUCCUAGUUAUAGAAUCUUCUCUAGCCAUGACAGAGGGGUCAGAUAUGCCGAACCCCAUGCCUGACUCUGACACAGACUCAGAAUUGGUUAUCCAAAACUCAGAAUUGGACAUCCAACUUUCAGAAAAGGCAGAGGCACCUCAGACAGCCUAUGACCUGAAGCAAAAUAGAAAGUCUAUGCAGACUAAGCGGUCGAACCUCUUAGAGGAUUGGGAAAGGUUUUAUCAAAAGCAUGAGAAAUGCUGGAAGAAGUUGCAGCAGUUCUACGUCAAACUCAAAGAGGAGUUGCCCCCCAAACACCUGCAUACAUUGGACGAGGACAUGGAUGAAAUAUUCAUACAACGGACAGUUUAUGGAGACUGCCUCAACAACAUCCAGUUACAACUAAAUGAUGAUGAAUUCCAGAAGAACAUGCUGUGUUUCCGGACGUUAAACAAAGAAUGUAAAAAGCAAUUUCAAAGCAGAAAGACUUUAUCCAAACCAGUCUGAAGAGGGAGACUGCAUUGAACAAGAAGGCUGAAUCUGAAGUGUCCCAUUGUUCGCAUACACCAUCUCAGCGGUCGCAUAUGAUUUCCUGACAUGCUUCUAAGAAAGCAUCCUCAUCUAGUUCCAAGGAUACACCAGGACAGAAGGCUGCAUCUUAUCGUUCGCAUGCACCAUCUCAGCGGUCACGCGCAACAUCCUCCCAUGUCUCCAAUAAAGCUUCAUCCCUCUACCAAAGCCAACCUGAUUUUGAAUGGACACCAGCAUCUCACAGCAAUCUUCCCAUCACAGCCAGAUAUCACAGGCAUCUAGAAUUGCAGAAGCACAAGUUGAAGCUGAGAUAGCCAAGGAAGAUCUAGAAGUAGCAAGGGAAGAGCAAUUGCUGAAGGAAGAGAUGACAGCUGCGAAAGCCAAAGCUCGGGAAGAGAUAGCAGCUGCAAAAGCAGUUGUGAACCUCCAUAAUGCCAAAGCUCAGGCUGAACUUGAAUUUCUUCAGCACAAGUGGGAAGCUAUGGAAAAAAAUGAUAAGGGCCAAAGCUAACUGCGCCUCCCUCAAUUCCAGUCCUAGGAAGAUGGAAAAAGAUAAUCUGAACAAGCAUAUCAAGGCCUACGUGUACGACCCAAAUUUGCCACAACAGGAACAAGGAAGAGAAUCUCAACCACCAGAUCUAUAAACUAGUCAGACAGCUGAUAUUAUACGAUCUGGAUCACGAAACUCCUUCUUUGGAAUUAGAAAACUUACCCUGACAUACCUAGAAACAUGAGAUGAUCAUGGUAGUCCAUCAGCAACAGUGAAGGAUCUUCAGCAGGCAGGCACACAAGGGGCCACGGUUCACAGCCUCAAUGUGGAGGUGAAGGAAUCCUUGCCAGAUCUUCAAAGCAACUUGAGCGUGGACAUACGGCACAAUGAAUGCGGUCAGCCAGGUACCCUGCAUCCAGACUCUAAGUUGCCACAACAGACAACUCCUAACCCUCAUCUGGCCAAGGAACAUGGCCGGCAUGGUACCAAAGUGCACCCAGAGGCAGUUGCAAGUGUCAAUUGCACAUCAGUAUGUGGUGACUCACCAUCCCUUCACUUAUACCAACCGAUCUGCUUAGCAAAAGUCUACCACAAUGGGCGUCUAGAAGAAUCCAGGAAGAUGCAUGAAAUAGUAGACACAGAAAGCAAUCAAUCAUUAGCCAGGUCAGAUUCUUUGACCUCUUUGAUGUCCAAAGUGCAGAGACAUAAUUCAUGAUAUCAACGUGCACUGGGUCUCAGCACACGACAGGGAGGAAAGUUGAUGGACUCUGCAUAGAAUCGUUGGAUGGGAGUGCACAGUUCCCAUUGUCGCCAUUGCUACAAUGGGACGACUUACCAGAUGAUCGCAGUCAGAAUGUAGCACCAGAGGUAGUAAGCACCAUACCUCACAUGAGGCACAUGGCUAAUCACUUUCCUGCUCUAGAUCCCAAAGCCGAAAUUCUGCUCUUGCUGGGAGCAGACACCUCCGAUGCUUUCACCCCCCUUCAAGAAGUGGUCAAAAGCCCAAGGGGCCUCCCAUUCACCCUCAAGACAGAAUUCAUAAGAGGCAUCUUUGGGAUGGUUUGUGUCAAUUGGCCGCAGGUCCCAACCCAGGCGAAUGUCUUUGUGACCUCCACUCUCAGUAAUGGGGGAGCAUCCCAAUCGAGACUGUGUCAAAAACACUUUAUGACUUCGACAAACAACCCUGAUUUAGAAGCAACAGUGUUCCAGACCAGCAAAGAAAACAAUGACUUGGCCUUGUCGACAGAGGACAAAGAUUUUCUGUAGCUCAUGGAGAAAGAGCUUCAGCAGGACGUCUCCAGGAGCUGAGUAGUCCCAUUACCCUUUCGCAUAACCAGGCAGCGCCUGCAGAACAACCACGAGCAAGCUCUCUCUCAUCUCUUCAGUCUGAGACGACUAAUGAACAGGAAGCCUGCAGUGAAAGCUCAUCUAGUGGGGUUCAUGAAUAAGAUGGUCCAGAACUUGCACCACCUCUGAGAAAUGAUGAGGAAUGCUGGUACAUGCUAUUUUUGGGGGUGUACCACCCACAAGAGCCAGGCAGAGUCGACUAGUCUUUGAUGCCAGCAUGCAACUCCAAGGCUUCUCCCUGAAUGAAGUUCUUCUCACAGGAACUGAUCUCACCAACAGCCUGCCAGGUGUACUCAACCGCUUCAGAAAGGAAGCCAUCACCACCAUAAUCGACAUAUGUUCCAUUCAUUCCUUGUUAGAGAAGACCAUCAAAACUACCUACAUUUCAUGUGGUCCAGUUACAAACAGCACAACCAACAGAAACAAGAAUGGGAGAUGUGUUGUCUCCCUGAGUUGUCUUUAAAGUAUUCGUGUGCAGUGCACGUACAUUCCCAUCUGGCCUGUCACCACACUGAAGAAAGAACUGCAUGUCUUCUCAGAUGCAUCAAUGAAGGCAAUAGCAGCUGUAGGAUAUAUCAGGGUCUAUGAUGGGGAGAACGACAUUCAUGUUGAUUCCGUCAUGGGAAAGGCGAAACUAGCACCGUAACUAACCCUCAACCAGUCCUGAGAAUCAGCUCACUUUAAACGCUUCUCCAGACAGAGACUUCUCAUGUUGGGCAUAGCAGUGAUCAUUCUCAUUUCCCUCUUGGCAGAGGUGGCUCGACCCUUGGUUCCAGUGUCUUCGGAUCUUGAAAACCCUACUAUCCUCACCCCAGCCGCCUUGCUGACCCAGAAGACAGGUGACCAGCACCAGCAGGGAACUUCAUUCCCAAAGACAUGUAUUGGAACUCAUGGCCUAAGGGACUUUUGUCCAUUGGAAUGCAUGGCCUAUGGGUCUUGUGUCACAAGUCCUACCCAGUGAUGAUGAACUAAUCUGCCAGGUUGAAGUUCAAGUCGCAAAGCCGCUGGAGUCAUGUCAUGACCAGCAGACUUGUGCCAAGAAGCUCUACACCAGACUAAUCACUGCUGCUAAAGAAGACCAAACUAGAAUAUUGAACCUCAAGCUUUGCAUGCUUUGUGUUUGCCUCACUGUUUGCAUUAUUUGAUGCUAUGCUUUUGUGUAACUCAGUUAAUUAGUUAGUUAAGUUUGCAUGUUUGAUGUUAUGCCUUUGUUUAUCUUAGUUAAUUAGAUAGUCAAGUUUGCAUUGUUUUAUGACAUGCCUUUGUUUACCUUUAGUUAAAAGUUAGUUGAUAAUGGAAUUUCUAAUUCUAGGCGGGAAGUGUACUGCCCCAGCAAUAUAUAUAGAUAUAGAAUUAAGAACUGUCUCCUUUAAUAAACUGUCUCCUGGGAAAUGUCGGCAGAGACUGCCUUAUGGGAAAUGUAGUUCCAUGACAUGUGAUCAUAACUGUGCUUCUGAUUGGCCACUGGGGCAUCCUGCCUGUGUGCAGAACAAAAGCCAGUCAUUUUCCUCCUCUCAAUAUGGAAGUGAAAUCAUCUUUUUAUAUCACGUGAUGGGACAGAUUAUGGAAAGUCAGAAGUAUCUUAACACUGAACUACCCGGUGGCCUCUCCAAAAACAAAAACCUGUUGUAGGCAGCAACCAAGGGAGGAGUUAAUGCAUGGUUGCAUUGGAACUGCCUGUUAGAAAAUGGCUCCGGCUCGGUUAUGCCACUUAUUGUCUCCUAACACCCAAGCUUCCUGAAAUCUGCGACAUGCUCCAACCCUCCAUAGGGACGAAGCUGCUGGUGGAUCUCAUGUGCUAAAGGCACAGAUACAGCCAACUGCGGGAAAAGAUACAUCUGGCACAGAUACAUCUGGUACAUCCAGAGGAUCUUGGCUACUUAUUGUUAAUUGGCAGGAGUGAACUUGUAAUUUGAAUUGGAGGAUUUGUAUGAAAACCUAAUUCUGUAUCUGUUCAUCACUGCUUGGAGCCUAAGAAAUUUGCAAGGUGGUAUCCAUGCCGAAUAUGUAUUAAACACAGGUUUUCCUACACAGACUACUCUGCGGGGUUAGCUGAUCUGCAGGAUAUUAGAUGAACUUGGAAAAUAAACUUGGAAAAAAAAUCAUGAUUCUGUUAA